GUAAUUCAAGGAGGGGGGAGGGUGGGCAAUAGAUUUGGAUGCUUUGCCCAAAAAGACAUUUCAGUUUAAAAUGAUGGAACACCAAGUGCUGGUGAGAAUGUGGGGCAAUGGGAACUCUCAGAGACCACUGCUGGGAUGUAAAGUGUUGCCAGCACUUUGGAAAACAGUUUGUGGUUUCUUAAAAAGUCAACAUACAUCUGCUAUGUGUUCCAGUCAUUCUACUCCUAGGUAUUUACCCAAGAAAAAAGAAAGCCUAUGUCCUACAAAGACCUGCACAUGGAUGUUCAAAGCAGCUUUAUUUGUGGUAGCCAAAGAUGGCAAACAGUUCAAAUAUUCAUCAACAGGCGAAAGAAUAGAGGAAAUGCGGCAUAUCCAUACAGUGCAAUAAGUCUCAGAAAAAGAGGAAUAAACUAUUGACACACACAACAAUGUGGAUGAAUCUCAAGAUAAUUUCACUAAUGAAAGAAGCCAAACAAAAGAGUGCGUACCACCUGAUGCCGUGUACAUAAAACUCUACUAAAUGCAGAUUAAUCUACAAUGACAGAAAACAGACCAGUGGUUGCUCUGGGGAUGGACAGGGGUUGGGAUGCACAGAUUACAAAGGGUGACAAGGAACCUUGGAGGUUUGGUGAAUGUGUUCGUUGUCCUGCUGGUGGUGAUGGUUUCAUGGAUGUAUCCAAAUGACAAGCCUUAUUACACUCUAUGCUUUAAAUAUGUGCAGCUUCUGUGUAUCAGUUAUAUCUCAACUAAGUGUUCAUCUUUUGGUCUUGAUUCAUCAUGGACAGAGCGCCUUUGUCUAAGGCUGAUGUUCUGUGAAAUUGUUUUUGUUCAACAGGAGAACACCAAGGCCUAGCUGUAAACUGCUGUGAUAUCAGAAAUAGAGACACUAUGCUCUGAAAAGCUGAGAAAUAAGGUUCAAAAUUAGGCUUCAAAAUGAGAUUAGGCUUUGAGCAAUAGUGAGUUCUGGGCUCAGGCCAGACCCGGGACUGGUCCUCAUCACCCCCCUCUGUCCCUUCCAGGUCCACUCUUUAACUACCUGCCUAUACCUUGGGUGAGGUGAUGAGAUCUAGAUGGGAGUGAACGGUGAUAGGAGGCAGGAGAUGAAAGGGACAAAGCGUAAGGCUUUCUUCUCAAAUAGUCAUUCUGAAACUUUAUCCCAGAGUUAAGUAUUUGCACCUUUAAUGUAUCAAAAUUUCCUUGUUUUCAUUAUUCUGUAUUAAAAGUGAGAACCAAACCUGUUGCCAUCAAGUAGAUUCUGACUGUUACCAACUCUAUAAGACUGCCUCUUAAGAUUUCCAAGUAGCGGCCGGAGGAUUCGAACUACUGACUUUAUGGUUAGUAGCAGAGCUCUUAACCACUGUGCCCCCAGGGUUCCAACAGUGCUGCAGGGUAAAUCCUGGAACCGGUCCUGCCAAGGCCCUGCCCUCUUCCCUUUCAGGCACGCGAGCCUCACAGAACCUCCUCGCAGCACGCAGUUCCAACCCGUCGCAUUCCACUAGAUGGCGCUCUGGUUCCCCCAGAGCAGCGUCACUUUCAGGUUCCGCCAAUCGGCGUUACCUGGGCUCUGCUCAGCAGAAGGCUAUGCUGCAGUGCCGUGGCGCAGUGGUUAAGAGCUCGACUACUAUCCAACGUAUCGGCUGUUCGCGGCUGCUGCUCCGCUCUAUCCGUCUGUUUUUCCAUCCAUUUAAACUCAGCCGGGAUAUAACCUGAAACUGGGAGUUUGGCUUCUGCUGGUCUUGCAUUUCCCUCCCCAGUGCCAGCUGGGAGGUCUCAGUAACUCGCUCUGGGCCACGACUUUCAGUUUUGUUUCUUCUUUCCUUUUUACUGAGGGAGAGUUUUGGAGAAAUAUUUGCGGAAGUAUAUAGAUGAAGACCUGUUGAGUCUGGUUCAUUUAUUUCACUCUCAGUCACACUGCUCUGCAGGGCGAAUGUCUGUGACAUCAAAUCCCCGCUGAGUGGAGACACACCUGGCGCGAAACCGGUGUGCUGAAAGGCCCUGUAGUUGGCGCGCUCUAGAGGCGCUAUCGAUUUAGAUUGCAACCUCCAGAGAUGUCAGGUUGUGAACCUCCGGAGAUGUCAGGUUGGGAAUUCCAGUCUCACCUGGAGUAGUCUUUUCAUAGUAUCACGAAGGAUGCCUUCCCGCAAAAAAAAAAAAAAAAACUCAAACCCAUUGGCGUGAAAUCGAUUCUAACUCAUAGCGACCCUAUAGGACAGAGUAGAACUGCCCCCAUAAGGUUUCCAAGGCUAUAUAAUCCUUUAGGAAACAGACUGCUACCUUGGUUAGCAGCCGAGCGCUUAACCAGUGCUCCACCAGGGCUCCUUCAUGCCUUGCCUAGAUAAUCCAAAUAAUGACCAUUGCAAAUUUCAGUCGAAAGUUCUCGCAGAGUCUUUCCUCGGUUUAUUGUGGCAGGUGGGGCUGGGCGCGGGGUGUCCUGAGCUGGAGUUUCCUUGGUCCCAGGAGGUCCAGGGGGUAGAUAAGGAGUUCUUGGUUUAGGGCUUCCUCAUUCCACUAGCUCCCAACAGCUGUCUGGGUCACCUUUACAAAAUUAUAUUUCUACUGGAGUAGUUCUAGGUUAAGGAGCUCUGGCGGUGCAGUGGCUAAAGUGCAACCGAGUGGUGGGUGGCCGAGUCCACCAGCAGCCCCCCUGGAGAAAUAUGUGGCAGUCUGCUUCCUUAAAGGUUACAGACUUGGAAACCCUAUGCGGCAGUUCUGCUGUGUCCCAUAGGAUCGCCAUGAGUGAGGAUCGACUCGAUGGCACUGGGGUAGCUCUAGGUGUAGGUGAAGGACUAGUGAGGAAUGGCUAGGUUGAAGAGAUUUUGGGAGUAAAUGCAGAAUAAAAAAGAUUUAUGUAUUGAUGGUGCAAUCUAAAAGUAAAUUUUAAAACGAUAGGAAGAAUAUGUAACGAUUUUAAUGAAUUUUAAAUUACAAAUGAAAGCCGAAGAAUUAACGACCUGUGGAGGGAGAAGGAGGGAGAAAGUUCAGAGGAAGGAAAGGGAGAGACAGUCUAUGUGUACUCCCCCCUUUGUUCUCUUUGUGAACUUAGUGCAGGAUUAAGACACGCAAGUAAUAAAAAUGUGUUUGUGACUUUCUGCUUCCACAUCAAGUUUUAAGUACCUUGAGAUAAUAAGGUUAUUCCCCGCCCCCCACUCCAUCUUUUUAUAUCACCCACCAGCACCAAAAGCUAGCACAGUGGGAUGACUAAACUCCGCUGAAAUGUCCUUAUACAAGCAUCCAGGGCAAAGCAAUGUUGGGGACAAAGAAAAGGGAGAGAUCAGUCAUUCCUGGAGGGUUCAGAAAAACUUAAAAGAAAAUAGACUUAAAGAAUGAGCAGGAAUUCACAAGUUAAGGAAGGCCACACAUUUGUCUUGUUUUACCAAACAAGGCUGAAGGCUCAGGACGUAAAAGCUCAAGUUACAUGAAAGCGACGGACAAAAGAUAACAUAAAAUCCAGUCGUUGAAGUCCCUGAGUUGGCCCAGUUAAAACAACCAAGCUGACUUAGUUUGGGCUCCCCAAAAAGAGGACGUUGAGGCCGAAAUUUGCGUGCCAGUAAUUUAUUUGGGACGUCAUCCUAAAAAGCAUCGUGAAGGUGAAACAGGCUGCUCAGCCAUAUUGAAAACCCCAAUCAACACCCCUUCCCCCCUCUUUGUCUUGCUAACCACAAGCUUGUUUUGAGCAGGAAGUUGCAGCAGGUAGUGGCUCUGGCCACUGACUAGCCCUGGUUACACCUUGAAGCAGGCACAGAUUGAAAUCACAUCCUUCAACUGACCUCCCCCCCCAAUAUACGCACGGGAGGGCUAAAGGCAGAAAAUUCCGGGUACCAAACCCAAUCCCCUGAAGCCAUUGGAAACAAAAAGGUCCCCAGCCCCCUUAGUCAGCGAGCACGUGGCCUUAAGGUCACUAGACCCCAUGAGCUCCUUCUAUGCGCAGACAGUAAACUUGCUACUUUCUGUUUCCGUUGCAAUCAGUUCCAUCUAAUUUCAAUCGGCUAAUAAGACAGGACAAGAACCCGAGUGGCCUUAGGUUACAAAUUCUGGCGAUUCUGCCCGGAUGGCUGACUGCAAAAUCCUGGCGGUGAGUAUCCGGACCCCUGAUACCCCUUCAGGCGCGCCCAGAUCUCGUUUGAUCGGUAAGGAGUCUUGGGCGGCUGCCGCGAUCCCGCUCAGGACAAAGUCCGCCGUGUCCCCACCUCAGCUCCGGAACAGAAACCGAACCGGAGAGGCCUCUAACUUCAGAUAAGCUUAUGUGUCUUGGUGUAUGCCUUAAUGAGUUGAUGCCUUCUCCCCUGAAGAGUAGAGUCAUUUCAAGUGAUUCAAAAGUUCCGGCUCCAAGUGAUGGUUGCCCAGAAAUUUCAACCCAUCCCCCUAUCAAGAAGGGAGACAAGAGCCUAAUAAAGGGCCACUAUAGGUUUUUUUUUUUUAUAGGUACAAAGAGAGAUAAAACAGUUUAACUCAGACAACACAAAAGCUCCAUUUUUCUAGCCCUUAGACCUCUACGCCCCCAUCCAACAAGAAGCAGCUAGAGAGACACGGCGCCCUGUUUCCCAAAAUUGAGAAACCUACAACAAAAAGGGGGGAUUGAAACAGGCUGCUCAGCCAUAUUGAAAACCCCAAUCAACACCCCUUCCCCCCGUCUUCAUCUUGCUAACCACAAGCUUGUUUUGAGCACUAAGUUGCAGCAGGUAGUGGCUCCCGCCACUGAUUAGCCCUAGUUACACCUUGAAGCAUGCACAGUUUGAAAUCACAUCCUUCAGCUGGCCCCCCCACCCCCAAAUAUAGGCACGGGAGGGCUAAAGGCAGAAAAUUCCAGGUACCAAGCCCAAUCCCCUGAUGCCAUUGGAAACAAAAAUCUCCCCAGCCACCUUAGUCAGCCAGCACCUGGCCUUCAGGUCACUAGACCCCAUGCGCUCCUUGUAUGCGCAGACAAUAAACUUGCCACUUUCUGUUUCCGUUGCAGUCAGUGUCCAUCUUAUUUCAAUUGGGUAAUAAGACAGGACAAGAACCUGAGUGGCGUUCGGUUACAAAGGGAAGUGAGAAACUUAACAGGGAAGGGAGGAAAGUCACUCUAGGGUGCCCUAGUGGGCCGGCUACCACCGUGGGGACCUGGGGCUCAGUCCCACAGGGCCCUCUGAGAGACUGUGUGGAACACACCACAGAAUAGCCCCAUUGAGGGGUAACGAAGUGGGGAUAUUUAUUUGUUAACUUCCACCUUUAUUUGUUGAGGACCCACCAUGGCUCUUUAACUCCCUGGCAGCCUGGCCUGCCCUGGAUGCUGCCUGCACAGGCAUCAAGAAUUAGAAACCUUCAGGAGAACUGCCUGCAGGUGACUCCGGGGAAUGCCGAGAGCAUACAGGACUGACUGGUGGUGGCACAUGAACCACAGGAGACAUAACUGCUCUUCCCCAGUGAGAAUCCUGCUCCAAAGGCUCGGGUGAGCUGCUAGCUCUCUGACUUUUCAGCCUUGCCCCUCCCUGGAAACUGAAAAGCUGAUGUGAAGAACAAAUCGGUGCAUUUGUCUUUAUGUCUGAAACAAAGUGAAUUUAGGGAUCCCCCAAAAUGAGACUGUAAGGUAAAGUUUCCCUGUAACUGUUUAUUUGUCUCUAGAACUUAGAGAACUUUCCACUUCUUCCCAUGGUUUCCCUGUCCCCAAAUGGAGUUAGCCACCACGCCUCCCCCCUCCCCCGCCCCACACAUACAAGCUUUCCCUAAAGGUGGGGGUCGGCAGUGCAAAGAAGGGACGCAAGGUCCUUUGGGUCUCUUUCCGCAACAGAGUCAAGUGAUGCCAGUGUGUGCUUCCAGUACAAACCAAAAAGCCAAACCUGUUGCCAUCAAGUGAAUUCCGACUCAUAGUGACCCUAUAGGACAGACUAGAACUGCCCCAUAGGGUUUCCAGGGAGCACCUGGUGGAUUCAAACUGCCAACCUUUGGGUUAGCAGCCUUAUCUCUUAACCACUAUGCCACCAGCGUUUCUCUUUCAGUACAGGAUGUAGUAAAAAAUAAAGAGAAAUGAGCCUUUAGCUAAUAUGGGUAAGUGCCAGGGAGAGGGCACCUAACUCCACUGUAUGGACGUUGGAGGGCUGGGCACCCACCUGGAGGAAGUA